UAGGUCUCAGUUCGGACUGUAGGCUGCAACUCGCCUACACGAAGUUGGAAUUGCUAGUAAUCGUGGAUCAGCAUGCCACGGUGAAUACGUUCCCGGGUCUUGUACACACCGCCCGUCACACCAUGGGAGCUGAGAAUACCCGAAGCCCAUGUCAAAGUGGUCGAAGGUAGGCUUGAUGAUUGGGGUGAAGUCGUAACAAGGUAAC
rnacentral:rRNA from 1 species